rnacentral:rRNA from 1 species
UACGUAGGUGGCAAGCGUUGUCCGGAAUUACUGGGCGUAAAGCGCACGUAGGCGGCGAUUCAAGUCAGAGGUGAAAGCCCGGGGCCUACCACCCGGAACUGCCUUUGAAACUAGGUUGCUAGAAUCUUGGAGAGGCGAGUGGAAUUCCGAGUGUAGAGGUGAAAUUCGUAGAUGUUCGGAAGAACACCAGUGGCGAAGGCGGCUCACUGGACCGUUGUUGACGCUGAGGUGCGAAAGCGUGGGGAGCAAACAGG